rnacentral:rRNA from 1 species
AAAAUUUUAAUAAUUUUAUUUAAAAAAAAAUUAUUUAAAAUAAAAUAAUAUAAGUUAUUAAGAAGAAAUUUUAGUAUAAAUUAGAAAAAAAAAAUAUUUUAUAGUUAAAUUGUAUUGUCUAAGAAAAAUAAUAUUAAAUAUAAUUUUUUAUAAAGUAUUAUUAAUUUUAUGUAUCUUGGGUAUCAGAGUUUAUUAAAUAAAAUUUAUUUAAAUAAAAUUCUCGAAAAUAAAAGAGUUAUUUAAUUAUAGGAGUUAAUAUGGAAUUAUUAUUUUAUAUAAUUAAAUAGAAAUGAGAUGUUAUUCGUUUUUUUAAAUAUCUAGUUUAAAAAUAAAUAAAUUUAAUUUAGGAUAAAAUUUAUUAUAUAUAUAUAUAUAUAUAUAUAUAUAAUUUUGAUUUAAUAAUUUAAGGGAUAAGCUUUAAAUUAAAUUUUUAUAUUAGAGAAAAUAUUUUUAAAAUUAAUAUAAAUAGUAUUUUUAAUUAAUUGAAAUUUUUUAUAAAUAUUUUUAUAAAGUUUAAUAUUUUAUUUAAAAUUAAAUGAUAUAUUUUUAAAAUAAUAAUUUUUAGAAAAAAUGAUAUAAUGAUAAAAUUAGUAUAUAAAGAAUCUAAAAUUAGUUUGAGAAUUUGGAUAAAAAAUUAAUUUAAAGAAUUCGGCAAAAUGAUAUAUUUACCUGUUUAACAAAAACAUGUCUUAAAGAGUUUUAAUUUUAAGUCUAAUCUGCCCACUGAAUUUAAAUUUGAAGGGCCGCAGUAUUUUGACUGUGCUAAGGUAGCAUAAUAAUUAGUUUUUUAAUUGAAAACUAGAAUGAAUGAUUGAAUAAAAUAUAAGCUGUUUUAAAUUAAUUUAAAUUGAAUUUAAUUUUUUAGUGAAAAAGCUAAAAUUUUUGUAGAAGACGAGAAGACCCUAUAGAUCUUAUAUAGUUGAUUUACUUUUGCAAUAAAUUAUUUAUUUAUAAGAAAAUUAAUUAUUAAAUUGGGGUGAUUAAAAAAUUAGAUAAAUUUUUUUAGUUUAAGAUCAAUGAUUUUUGAAUUUUUUAUCUAUUAUUAAUUAAUUAAGAAAAAGUUACCUUAGGGAUAACAGCAUAAUUUUAAUUUUAAGUUCUUAUUGAAAUUAGAGAUUGUGACCUCGAUGUUGGAUUAAGAUUAAAUAUAAAUGCAAAAGUUUAAAAUUUGAGUCUGUUCGACUUUUAAAAUCUUACAUGAUCUGAGUUCAGACCGGCGUGAGCCAGGUUGGUUUCUAUCUUUAAAAAAAUUAAAUAUUUUAGUACGAAAGGAUUUAAUAUUUAUAUGUUUAUUUAUAUAUUAGAAAAUUGAUUAAUGUUA